UGUUGCACAAUAUUCAGUUACAGGCGCGUUUUGGUUGUAUAUUUGAAAAGUUGCCCAAAAUUACAAAUAAUCAGAAGAAAUUAACGCAUGAACAAAAAUCAUUAUAGGAAAUAAAGUAAUUUUUUCGGCAAAUAGCAGUCACAAUUGAGAAUAGUGAUGUUUUGGAGUGUAAAAAGGGAUCAGGUCGUUCUCGAAAGUCAACUGAUUGCGGCGGAUAAGUUUAAGCGACCGCUUUAAAAGGGUACUUUCUAUAAGAGCGGAAGUCGAAACUAUACAACGGCAGCUUAGAUGGCGUUCAGGUGGUGAGAGGUUAAACGAUAAAUUUGUUGUAAAGAAAAUUAAGAUUCCAAGUGAUUUGGGGCUGAUUUCCUUAGCACGUUUUAUUUUAUAAACAAAUUGCUCCUAUGAUCUUAUUUCAAUUAUAUUUGGUAGAAAGUUUUUAUUGAUCCCAAGUUUAAUUUCCAAACCUAUCUACGGUUUGGUUCAAAGAAUAAAGAAGAAGAAAAAA